rnacentral:rRNA from 1 species
GGCCUUGACAUGCAGAGAACUUUCCAGAGAUGGAUUGGUGCCUUCGGGAACUCUGACACAGGUGCUGCAUGGCUGUCGUCAGCUCGUGUCGUGAGAUGUUGGGUUAAGUCCCGUAACGAGCGCAACCCUUGUCCUUAGUUACCAGCACGUUAUGGUGGGCACUCUAAGGAGACUGCCGGUGACAAACCGGAGGAAGGUGGGGAUGACGUUAAGUCAUCAUGGCCCUUACCGGCCUGGGCUACACACGUGCUACAAUGGUCGGUACAAAGGGUUGCCAAGCCGCGAGGUGGAGCUAAUCCCAUAAAACCGAUCGUAGUCCGGAUCGCAGUCUGCAACUCGACUGCGUGAAGUCGGAAUCGCUAGUAAUCGUGAAUCAGAAUGUCACGGUGAAUACGUUCCCGGGCCUU